AUUGGUUUACUCGAAUUAACCAAUACAAGGAGACCUCGGACCCCUCGAAGUGUCCAACCAUAUCACCAUUAUAGGUCGUCAACACAAGAACGAUCCUUGGUCCUUAUCCGUCAAUCAACCUAUUACUCAAUUCAGAUCCGAAGCACGUAACAACUUGGCAUCAGAGCCAGCCAUGUCCGACCCCCGUGUUGAUAAAUUGGAGGGCGAAAUAGGCUCGUUGCAACAAUCGAUGGAAUCACUCCAAAAAACGGUGGAAUCCAUGUUCGCCAUGUUCUCCCAUCAACGGGAGGAAGGGUCGGGCAAAGGACACGAGAAUGGAGAAGGUUCCUCUUACAUCAACUCUCGAGGAUCUGCGGGUGGAGGAUUCACUACACCAAAAAUAACAAAGUUAGAUUUUCCACGCUAUAAUGGCAUGGAUGAUCCGACCGGGUAGAUUUGUCGUGUGGAGCAAUUUUAUGAUUUUCACCAAACUGAGGAAGUGGAUAAAUUGCCAUUGGCGAGAUAUCAUUUGGAUGGGGAUGUCCAACUAUGGUACCAAAGUUUUAAGGCAAGGCGAGAAGGCGUGAACUGAGAAGUCUUCAAAUAUGAACCCCAUCUUCGUUAUGGAUUAUCACAAUACUAUAAUUUUUUUGGAGAUCUCACGAAGCUUAAGCAAACAGGGAGUAUUCGUGAUUACCAAAUGGAGUUUGACCGAUUAUUACACCGAGCAGGAUCUCUUUCCGAAGGACAACAAGUGGGAUGCUUUAUUAGCGGCUUGAAGGAAAGUUUGCGUGUUGAUGUCCAAGCAUGCAAUCCAGUAUCCUUAUCUGCCGCCAUUGGGCUUGCACACCUAUACGAGUCAAGGCUUAUCGACCAACGUAGAAGUGGGCUCUCGGAGUUUAGGAAGGCCCCCAUGACUCCCGGGCCUUCUCCUAUACCUUCGGCGUCACUCACACGGGCACGCAACCCCGUCAUAAAAAGACUAAGUCCAAUAGAAUUACAAGAUCGGAGAUCUUGUGGGCUUUGUUUCAAUUGUGACAAGAAAUUCUCGCUGGGACAUCAAUGUAAGAAAUUAUUUUUCAUCAAAGGCAUAUUACCUUCUUUGGAGGAAUCCGAGGAUGAAGUAAUUGCGGAGGAAGAGCUUGGAACCAAUAUACCUGAAAUUAGCUUCCAUGCUAUUUCGGGAACGUCAAAUCCAAGAACCAUACGUUUACUUGGCAAGAUUGGGGGUAUCCUAAUUACUAUUUUGAUAGACUCUGGUAGCACCCAUAAUUUUCUUAAUUCUAAGGUGGCUUCCAAAGUGGGAAUCAAGGCUACAAAACCAGGGGCAUUUUCAGUACAAGUGGCAAAUGGUAACAAAAUGAAGAGUGAAGGGUUAUGCGAAUCCACGUUUUUCACCAUCCAAAAAUUUGAUUUCCAAGUUGAUGUUUUCCUUCUACCAGUGGAAGGUUGUGACGCAAUUUUUGGCAUCCAAUGGCUUGACACACUAGGCCAUGUUACUUUUGACUUUAGGGAAUCAUGGCUGAGAUUUCUUAGGGAGGGCAGAUUGGUGGAGUUACAUGGGCAUAGAGGGCCUUCAAACAAAAUCCUAGCUGGACAGAAUUUCGAGCAGCAGUUCAAGAAGGGAAGUCGUGUUUUUUUGCUCCAAUUAAACUCCCUGAAUCUUAGAGAAAAGCAAGUGAAUCAACAAGGCACAUUAAAUCCAGAAUUGCUGGCCAUUUUGAAUUAUUAUUCAGAUAUUUUCAUGGAGACUCAAGGACUGCCACCUCAACGUAUCCAAGAUCACAAAAUUCCAUUGGAACAAGGGGCUAAUCCAAUUUCGGUGAGACCGUACCGUUACCCGCACUAUCAAAAAAAUAAAUAAAUAUAUAUAUAUAUAUAUAUAUAUAAUGAAUUGUUGAUCCAUUGGCAGAAUCUUUCUCCCGCUGAUGCCACUUGGGAGGACUUUGAUGAUUUCAAUAACCGUUUUCUUAUUUCCUGGAGGACAAAGAAAUUUCCAAGGGGGAAGAAGUUGUAACGG
rnacentral:lncRNA from 1 species